CGGGCUGUAGUAUAGUGGUAGUAUACUUGCUUUGGGAGCAUGAGGUCUGGGUUCGAUUCCCAGCAGCCCGA
rnacentral:tRNA from 2 species